UCGAACGCAGUAGCGAUACUGAGUGGCAAACGGGUGAGUAUAAUGUGGGAAUCUGCCUUUUGGUUUGGAAUAACACGGGGAAACUUNUGCUAAUACCGAAUAAGCCCUUACGGGGAAAGUUUUAAUGCCGAAAGAUGAGCCCGCACUUGAUUAGCUAGUUGGUAAGGUAAAAGCUUACCAAGGCAAUGAUCAAUAGCUGUUCUUAGAGGAAGACCAGCCACAUUGGGACUGAGACACGGCCCAGACUCCUACGGGAGGCAGCAGUGGGGAAUCUUGCACAAUGGGGGAAACCCUGAUGCAGCGAUGCCGCGUGAGUGAAGAAGGCCUUUGGGUUGUAAAACUCUUUCGUCGGGGAAGAAAAUGACUGUACCCGAAUAAGAAGGUCCGGCUAACUUCGUGCCAGCAGCCGCGGUAAUACGAAGGGACCUAGCGUAGUUCGGAAUUACUGGGCUUAAAGAGCUCGUAGGUGGUUAAAAAAGUUGAUGGUGAAAUCCCAAGGCUCAACCUUGGAACUGCCAUCAAAACUUUUUAGCUAGAGUGUGAUAGAGGUAAGUGGAAUUUCUAGUGUAGAGGUGAAAUUCGUAGAUAUUAGAAAGAACACCAAAUGCGAAGGCAACUUACUGGGUCACUACUGACACUGAGGAGCGAAAGCAUGGGUAGCGAAGAGGAUUAGAUACCCUCGUAGUCCAUGCCGUAAACGAUGUGUGCUAGACGUUGGAAAUAUAUUUUUCAGUGUCGCAGCGAAAGCAUUAAGCACACCGCC
rnacentral:rRNA from 1 species